UGGGGAAUAUUGCACAAUGGGCGCAAGCCUGAUGCAGCCAUGCCGCGUGUGUGAAGAAGGCCUUCGGGUUGUAAAGCACUUUCAGCGAGGAGGAAGGUGGUGAACUUAAUACGUUCAUCAAUUGACGUUACUCGCAGAAGAAGCACCGGCUAACUCCGUGCCAGCAGCCGCGGUAAUACGGAGGGUGCAAGCGUUAAUCGGAAUUACUGGGCGUAAAGCGCACGCAGGCGGUUUGUUAAGUCAGAUGUGAAAUCCCCGGGCUCAACCUGGGAACUGCAUUUGAAACUGGCAAGCUAGAGUCUCGUAGAGGGGGGUAGAAUUCCAGGUGUAGCGGUGAAAUGCGUAGAGAUCUGGAGGAAUACCGGUGGCGAAGGCGGCCCCCCUGGACGAAGACUGACGCUCAGGUGCGAAAGCGUGGGGCAGCAAACAGGAUUAGAUACCCUGGUAGUCCAGCGCUGUAAACGAUGUCGAUUUGGAGGUUGUGCCCUUGAGGCGUGGCUUCCGGAGCUAACGCGUUAAAUCGACCGCCUGGGGAGUACGGCCGCAAGGUUAAAACUCAAAUGAAUUGAC
rnacentral:rRNA from 1 species